UUUUUCCAUCCAUUCGGAGCACUUUGCUGACGAGCUUCCAAGUGUAAGAGCCAGAAAAGGAGCCGACAAAUGGCGGCCUUGCUUCGGCAAGCCAGGUUUGCCUACACCGUUACGCGCAGCCCCUCAAAUUCGUCCUCAGCGUGCUCACGAGCAGUUGGUAACACGAGCAACUCAAAGAUCUAGACACAAUCUCAAUCAGCGAUUCUAGACCCAUCGUCUGAGAGGGCUAAAACCCACCAGCGGCUAUGGCGGCUCGAGAGGAGGGUAAGCAAAGCGCAGCGCGAUGUGGCGACAUCCUUUACAAUCUAGAGAUUCCGUAGUGGAUGUCCACGACCAUUGUUAUAAUGAAAACAAUAUCAAUCGAUGGUAGCGCACUUAUCUUUGGAUUUGAAGCUGGGUCCCCCACCCCAUUGAAUGAGCGUCGCGAUCAGUGCCGCCACAUCUUCGAAUCAGCUCUCUCUCACACCUUUCCGCUUGGUCCUCACUGAUUAUUCCAACACGCCGUGACUGCAUUCAAUGCUGGUGCCCACAGGCUUCCAUCUCCUGUGGACCUUACCAUCGCGGCCACUAUUCUCCGUCUCCACAUCUGUAUUUUCAAGGCGAUCGGGUUGGGAGAGAGAAGCUUUUUGUUGAAUUCGUGGUUGGCCUCGUCGUCGCGAUGUCCACUGUGGCAGCUUCGUCGAGUCCAUGUCAGACCUUAUUUUGACGUUGGACAUCGGAUUGGUGGGCUAUGUUUGUGUGGCAGUUCAUUCAACUUACAUUUUCAAAUUUUUAAUAUAAUGUCAAACAAGUUGGUAGAAUAUCAUUUGCAUGAUUAUAGUAUAUUUGUGGGCAACAAUUGAGUAGUGGGGAAGAAUUGCGAGCCUUUGUCUUUCCUUUGAAUAAAUGAUUUUAUUUUAAAAUUCGAUCUCAUGUGGAUAAUUUUAGACUUGAAUUUUGGUGGUUGUGGUUACUAUUGACAUUGCAAUUCCAUACUAUUUUCAGGAUCUGAGAUUUUUCACUAAGGCUCCUCUCAUAGUUGGAUUCUUCUUAAACUAUCUUUCUAUUGACCUUUUUGGAGAUUGAUUCUUAAUAAUCCUUGUACUAUUGUAUACUAAUUAAUGUUUAACAAAUAAUUGACUAGCUUUAAAGGAGGCACUGAUAUGAAAUUAAUAGUAGAAAUAGUCACUAUUCAAAUAUUUUUAGUUGGAUUGUAACUGAAUAAAAAAACAACAUAGGCUAAAUAUUUAAUU
rnacentral:lncRNA from 1 species